rnacentral:rRNA from 1 species
AGGGAAUCUUCGGCAAUGGACGAAAGUCUGACCGAGCAACGCCGCGUGAGUGAGGAAGGUCUUCGGAUCGUAAAGCUCUGUUGCCAGGGAAGAAACUCCGGGAGAGGGAAUGCUCCCGGAUUGACGGUACCUGAGAAGAAAGCCCCGGCUAACUACGUGCCAGCAGCCGCGGUAAUACGUAGGGGGCGAGCGUUGUCCGGAAUUAUUGGGCGUAAAGCGCGCGCAGGCGGUUCUUUAAGUCUUGUGUUUAAGCCCGGGGCUCAACCCCGGUACGCAUGGGAAACUGGGGAACUGGAGUGCAGGAGAGGGAAGCGGAAUUCCACGUGUAGCGGUGAAAUGCGUAGAGAUGUGGAGGAACACCAGUGGCGAAGGCGGCUUCCUGGCCUGUAACUGACGCUGAGGCGCGAAAGCGUGGGGAGCAAAC